UUUUCAUCCGAGGGGAGCCUUGCGUCGGACGAUGCGGGGCUGAGACGGCGGUCGCGCCGGACCCUUUGAACCUGAUCCGGAUCAUGCCGGCGGAGGGACGGACCUGAUGGUCGAU
rnacentral:ncRNA from 2 species